rnacentral:rRNA from 1 species
GAUGAACGCUGGCGGCGUGCUUAACACAUGCAAGUCGAACGUGAGAAUAGCAAUAUUUGAAAGUGGCGCACGGGUGAGUAAUACGUAGGUAACCUGCCCUGGAGUGGGGGAUAACAACUGGAAACGGUUGCUAACACCGCAUAAUACCGGACAUUCGGGAGAGUGACUGGUAAAAACUCUGGUGCUUCAGGAGGGGCCUGCGGCCGAUUAGCUAGUUGGUGGGGUAAAGGCCCACCAAGGCAGUGAUCGGUAGCUGGUCUGAGAGGACGAUCAGCCACACGGGAACUGAGACACGGUCCCGACUCCUACGGGGGGCAGCAGUGAGGAAUAUUGGGCAAUGGGCGCAAGCCUGACCCAGCAACGCCGCGUGGAGGAAGACGGCCUUCGGGUUGUAAACUCCUUUUACGGGGAAGAGGAAGGACGGUACCCCGAGAAUAAGUCACGGCUAACUACGUG